rnacentral:lncRNA from 1 species
GUUCCGAGAAGUUGUGGCUCAGCUUGCUUUGUCUACAUUAGUGGAAUCUUUAAGUCUUUCUGGUCUGUCUCAGCAUACUCACUGGCAGGCCCUAGACUACAUUACCCAAGUCAUUUUGCCGUCUUGGAAUCCUGAGUAUGUCAUCACUCUGUAUUGGAGAUGAGAUUGCUCAGAAACACUGAAUUCAGAAUGGGAUCUAGCAAGAUGGUAUUUCUGGAGCAAUAAGUCAUUUACUGAAUGAUUAUGCAAAGCAUAAAUUGCAUUGUAGUCCUAGAAUAAUACAAAGCUUCCCUUUAGUUGUUGCCGUAAAUUAAUAACUGGCAUUUUAAUGCACUAAAUGAAUUUUAGUAGUUAGAUUUAUAUCUUUGACUUCUAGGAAUUUCAACUACAUUAGAGUUCAUAUACACAAAAGGGGCAAGCCCUUUUCCACAGCAUUUCCAGCUUCUCCACAGAAACCUAGCCCCACAUGAGCAAAAGAUCACACUCUGUGCUUCAUCAAAGAGAUUACACAAUUACAGAUUCCAGCAUCUCCCAGGAGUCCUUUGAAUUUGGAUUAAGGUCUAUAAUUACGUGGGUAAGGGAAUAACUAGGUAAUUGGCUUUCUGCACCUGGAAUGUAUUCUCCUGGGUAUAAGAGGCUCCUUUUAAUCAGAAGUAUAUGGGAUGAAAGUGAACCCUGUCUCUUAAGGGGAGACUCCUUAAGAGGAGGAUUGGGGCCCUGUGUUUUAAUAGAUCUUCUCCACAAUCUUUAAUACCUAAGCUCCUUCCCCUUGUCCACUAAUUUGCUGUAGAAUUUUUCUAGCAUGUUUAUGAUGGUGUUCAGGGCACACUACCCCAAAAUAUAACACCUUGGCAUAUUGAAUGUUUUAAGCUGAUGGAAUUUGAGAAAUGGCAGGUGUGAGGACUCUGACCUUCCCAUGAAGCAGGUCAUAAGACCCUCAUGUGAGAGAUGCCCUCUCUAUACCUGGAGAAAAGAAGCAGUCUUAUUUGUGAAGACAGAGAGACGCCAAGAGGAAUCUAAAUGAAUAGGCCUUGGAACCCCAGACGCACGGGCCUUGUGCUGUCGCUGCCGUGGCACCCCUUCUAGAAGGACUCUAUUCUCUAUAACAGAAGUGGGAGCCUUGGACAACUGAACGCCUAUCUCUAGCUCAAGAAAUGUCAGCUCUUUUUUUUUUUUUGAGACUGUCACCCAGUCGGGAGUACAGUGGCGCCAUCUUGGCUCUCUGUAACCUCCACCUCCUGGGUUCAAGCGAUUCUCCUGCCUCAGCCUCCUGAGUAGCUGGGGCUACAGGUAUGCACCAUCACUCCUGGCUAAUUGUUGUAUUUUUAGUAGAUAAUGGGGUUUCACCAUGUUGGCCAGGGUGGUCUCAAACUCCUGACCUCAGGUGAUCUGCCUGCCUCGGCCUCCCAAAGUGCUGGGAUUACAGACGUGAGCCACCAUGCCCAGCCAAGAAAUGUCAAUUCUUUAUCGUAGCCUGGCUUUCCAUAUUUCUCACUAGGGUUUUUAUUCUCUAGUUUGUAAAUCACAUUUGGCGUUUGUAGAUCACUCCUUCCCUUUUAGUGGCAUUCUCUAUUAGGUGUCCAUCUCCCAAUAUGAAGAAACAGUUUUCUGCUUUUUCCUCCUUUAUCUGAUCCAUUUACAGAUUUAUUACAUUUAUAAUAGGCUAGGUAUUGGGGAUACAAAAAUGAAUAAGAUAUGGUCUGUUUUCAAAGGUAUGCAGAAACUUUUCUAUAUAUUCCUACUGACUUGUAUUUGUAUUUCUUGAAUUAAAAACA